AUUAAGCCUCACUUUGUUUACCUCACACCAAUUCUCUAUCAGAGCUUUAACAGUGUAAUUUGGGAUAAGAUUUGAAUGUGCGAGUGCUUGGUUGGUUCUUGGGCAUGUAGUUAGUCCAUGAUCCAGCCAUUUUUGAAUGGAAGUCUUCUCAUAAGUUUGGCCUGAAGCAAUAAUGACUGGAUUCACCAUCAGUUCCAAAGACAAGGGACACCGGAAAUAAGGAGGGAUCUUAAUACCAUCUAUGGCCUUGAAGUGGUCAAGUUCAAGCAUACAAUCACGAAUAUCAGAGAAGAGAUCUAUGGAAAGGCUGAUCUUAUCUAAAUCUCCUCUCGUUUCAUUAUCUUUA
rnacentral:misc_RNA from 1 species